GACAGAGGGUGCAAACGUUGCUCGGAAUCACUGGGCGUAAAGGGCGCGUAGGCGGGAAUGUAAGUCGGGCGUGAAAUCCCCAGGCUCAACCUGGGAACUGCACUCGAAACUGCGUUUCUUGAGUAUCGGAGAGGAAAGCGGAAUUCCUGGUGUAGAGGUGAAAUUCGUAGAUAUUGGGAAGAACACCGGUGGCGAAGGCGGCGCUCUGGACCGAGACUGACGCUGAGGCGCGAAAGCGUGGGGAGCAAACGGG
rnacentral:rRNA from 1 species